GACGAACGCUGGCGGCGUGCUUAACACAUGCAAGUCGAACGGUAAGGCCCUUCGGGUACGACGAGUGGCGAACGGGUGAGUAACACGUGGGUGAUCUGCCCUGCACUUCGGGAUAAGCCUGGGAAACUGGGUCUAAUACCGGAUAGGACCAUGGACUUCACGGUUUGUGGUGGAAAGCUUUUGCGGUGUGGGAUGGGCCCGCGGCCUAUCAGCUUGUUGGUGGGGUAAUGGCCUACCAAGGCGACGACGGGUAGCCGGCCUGAGAGGGUGUCCGGCCACACUGGGACUGAGAUACGGCCCAGACUCCUACGGGAGGCAGCAGUGGGGAAUAUUGCACAAUGGGCGCAAGCCUGAUGCAGCGACGCCGCGUGAGGGAUGACGGCCUCGGGUUGUAAACCUACUUUCAAUAGGACGAAGCGCAAGUGACGGUACCGUAUAGAAGAA
rnacentral:rRNA from 1 species